rnacentral:rRNA from 1 species
GAUGAACGCUGGCGGCGUGCCUAACACAUGCAAGUCGAGCGAUUCUCUUCGGAGAAGAGCGGCGGACGGGUGAGUAACGCGUGGGUAACCUGCCCUGUACACACGGAUAACAUACCGAAAGGUAUGCUAAUACGAGAUAAUAUGCUUUUAUCGCAUGGUAGAAGUAUCAAAGCUUUUGCGGUACAGGAUGGACCCGCGUCUGAUUAGCUAGUUGGUAAGGUAACGGCUUACCAAGGCGACGAUCAGUAGCCGACCUGAGAGGGUGAUCGGCCACAUUGGAACUGAGACACGGUCCAAACUCCUACGGGAGGCAGCAGUGGGGAAUAUUGCACAAUGGGCGAAAGCCUGAUGCAGCAACGCCGCGUGAGCGAUGAAGGCCUUCGGGUCGUAAAGCUCUGUCCUCAAGGAAGAUAAUGACGGUACUUGAGGAGGAAGCCCCG